rnacentral:lncRNA from 1 species
AAGGUACUCCAAUACAACUACUAGUACACUUGGUAUAAGUGCUUUUUUCGCAAAAAAAAAUAAGCCCCUAAAAUAAUUUAAGUCGAAAAAAAUAAUUUCUAUUCGGAUAAUUGUACAAGUACGUUUGUAGGAUUACUAUGAUUUUGCUUAAUUUGAGAUUAGAUAUUCAACAAAUAUCAUUAUAUUUUGCUAUAUGUGGGUGGUUUAAUUAAUCUGCAGGUGUGGCCACCACUUGGUUUGAAAAAGUUUGAGACUCUUUCGUACCUUCCCGAUCUCACUAGGGAACAACUCCUCAAGGAAGUCGAUUACCUUCUCCGAAUGAAAUGGAUUCCUUGCCUCGAAUUCGAGUUGGAGGUAAAUUCUCUAAACCUUCUUUAUUCAACUCGAUUGGACUAGAUAAAUAAUAAUUGACAUAUUUAGCCCUCCUUUGAUUCUGAUUUUUCAAGUCAAAAUUUUUUUACCGUUAUUUAUCAUAGUCAACUAUCGUUUUUGACUUCUUCAUCCAUGGGUGGGAUCCACAUUUUAAACUAACGGUCAAAAAAUCAAUUCUCAUAAUCGGCACCAAACGGACCCUUAUUUUGUAACAUUUCGUAUAUUCAUUGAUUGAUGUGAUCUAUUUGCAGCACGGGUUCGUGUACCGUGAGAACCACAGGUCUCCGGGAUAUUACGAUGGACGAUACUGGGUUAUGUGGAAGCUACCCAUGUAUGGAUGUACGGACCCAGUGCAGGUGUUGAAUGAGUUGGACUUGUGCGUCAAGGAAUACCCCAAUGCCUUUGUUAGGAUCAUUGGAUUCGACAACGUGCGUCAAGUGCAAUGCAUCAGUUUCAUUGCUUUCAAGCCACCAGGACGCGC